UACGAACUGUGCAAACGUUAUUCGGAAUCACUGGGAUUAAAGGGUGCGUAGGCGGCUUGUUAAGUAGGGUGUGAAAUCCCCCGGCUCAACCGGGGAAUUGCGCCCUAAACUGGCGAGCUGGAGUGAGAUAGGGGUGUGUGGAACUUCCAGUGGAGCGGUGAAAUGUGUUGAUAUUGGAAGGAACGCCAGUGGCGAAAGCGACACACUGGGUCUCAACUGACGCUGAGGAGCGAAAGCGUGGGGAGCAAACAGG
rnacentral:rRNA from 1 species